rnacentral:rRNA from 1 species
CUUACGGGGAGCAGCAGUGGGGAAUAUUGGGCAAUGGGCGCAAGCCUGACCCAGCAACGCCGCGUGAAGGAAGAAGGCCCUCGGGUUGUAAACUUCUUUUAACAGGGACGAAGAAAGUGACGGUACCUGUUGAAUAAGCCACGGCUAACUACGUGACAGCAGCCGCGGGAAUACGUAGGUGGCAAGCGUUAUCCGGCUUUACGGGGUGUAAAGGGCGUGUAGGCGGGAGAGCAAGUGAGACGUGAAAUUCCAGGGCUCAACCCUGGAACUGCGUUUGAAACUGUUCUUGUGGAGUGAUGGAGAGGCAGGCGGAAUUCCGUGUGUAGCGGUGAAAGGCGUAGAUAUACGGAGGAACACCAGUGGCGAAGGCGGCCUGCUGGACAUUAACUGACGCUGAGGCGCGAAAGCGUGGGGAGCAAACAGGAUUAGAUACCCCAGUAGUC